rnacentral:misc_RNA from 1 species
ACGACAGCCAUGUUGUUAUAAGUUCCGUCAGUGUGUGUAUCUGUCAAAAAGAAAACCUGGUUUCGGGGAGUUUAUCGUAAAAGGGGGCCCUCCACCAUCGCCGCUCACCGAAUACGAUGGACGAAACCAAAGUGAUUUAUCACAUCGAUGAUGAGGAGACGCCCUAUCUCGUGAAGAUACCGAUUGCGCCGGAAAAGGUCACCCUUGCUGAUUUUAAAAAUGUCCUCAACAGACCCAACUACAAGUUCUUUUUUAAAUCGAUGGAUGAUGAUUUUGGAGUGGUUAAAGAGGAGAUUAUUGAAGAUGGGGCUCAUUUGCCGUGUUUUAACGGAAGAGUUGUUAGUUGGCUCGUUUCCGCUGACGGUUCAAACCAAUCGGACGGUGGAUCUCAAUGCACGGAUAGUGUUACCAUACAAUCGGAACAACGGCAUGUUCCUCAAGCCCCUGAAUCAGUUUGUACCGACACAGAAAGCAUUAUAAGCUCAAGACAAGCUCGUAGGCAUCAUAAAUACUCGUCGAGGAUAAACGGACAUCUCCCGAGAUUAUACGAAACCGAAUCGAUAGUAAGCUCAGAUUUAGAAACAACAAGUUUUGUUUCGGAAACAACCGGGAGACACACGGCCCUCUCGGAAUGUUCGAGCGUAAGUCGAUUACACGUUGGGAAUAGAAAGAGGCCCCAAAGGCGACGGAAGCAACGCAUGCAAGCAAUGUCUCGUACAAGUUCGUAUUCGAGCAUAACAGACAGUACGAUGUCGUUGAAUAUAAUCACGGUAACUUUGAAUAUGGAUACAGUUAAUUUUUUGGGAAUUUCGAUUGUGGGGCAAAGUAAUAAGGGCGGUGAUGGGGGGAUUUACGUCGGAUCAAUUAUGAAAGGAGGAGCUGUGGCUAUCGACGGACGGAUCGAACCGGGUGAUAUGAUUUUGCAGGUUAAUGAUGUCAAUUUUGAGAAUAUGUCUAAUGAUGAAGCCGUAAGGGUUCUUAGGGAGGUCGUCCAAAAACCAGGGCCGAUUAAGUUGGUUGUUGCUAAAUGUUGGGAUCCAAACCCAAAAGGUUACUUUACUAUUCCUCGUACUGAACCAGUUCGUCCGAUAGAUCCAGGUGCAUGGGUUGCUCAUACAGCGGCGGUGAGAGGGGACCCGGUGGCGCGCCCCCCAAGCAGUUCGACCGUUUCAAGCGCCUCAAUAACGAGCACGAUCCCCGCGAACGAACGUGAGUGCAUGUUAGACUGUGAUUUAGAAGAACCCCUAACGAUAAACUCUCCAAUGGCAACGAUCGUCCAAGCAAUGCAACGAGCCGACAGCGGAUUAGAAAUUCGCGACCGAAUGUGGUUAAAAAUAACGAUCCCGAACGCUUUCAUCGGCACCGAUAUGAUCGAUUGGAUCUUGACUCACGUAAACGGUUUCCAAGAUAGGCGCGAAGCCCGGAAGUACGCAUCGCAUUUAUUAAAAGCUGGCUUCAUUCGACACACAGUCAACAAGAUCACGUUCUCCGAACAAUGUUAUUACAUUUUCGGCGAUUUAUGCUCAGCCAUGUCUAAUCUUAAGAUACAAGGCGACACCGAUUCCGUUGGACCUCUACCGAACGUUCCCAAUUAUAUGCCGUAUAGUGGCACUUAUAAUCCUUUGGAGUAUAUGCCGAUGCCGUUUUAUACGGCUAGCGAAAAUACAGUGUAUGGGUAUAAUAGGGAGGAGUCUGUUUUAAGUGGGAGUGGUGGUUCUUCGAACGGUUCCGAUCAUUUAAAAGAUCCCGCCGCGGCUCACAGCAGCGCCUCGGAUAGCGACAUAACCUCAUUGGGACCUAGAUCGGCUCUUCCGGUCGCUUCCGGAAACGGAAACGGUUCGUCGAAUGGUUCGGAUCAAAGCAGCGGGACCCAGGUGGCGAAUCAACAGAAAGACAUAGCCGUUUCAGUAUUAAGUUACCUAUAAAAACGCUAUAUUACGUGCAAUAUACAUUUCAUUCACCUUUACACACUCUGAAAUGGAACGACCAAGGAAUAGUUGGAUACUCAUACAGCGAAACCUAAACUGGAACUAAUCUCUAUUUUUAAUCAACAAUGUAUACUGAACGAAAAAAAAA